UACGUAGGGUGCAAGCGUUAAUCGGAAUUACUGGGCGUAAAGCGUGCGCAGGCGGUUUUGUAAGUCUGACGUGAAAUCCCCGGGCUCAACCUGGGAAUUGCGAUGGAGACUGCAAGGCUAGAAUCUGGCAGAGGGGGGUAGAAUUCCACGUGUAGCAGUGAAAUGCGUAGAGAUGUGGAGGAACGACCGAUGGCGAAGGCAGCCCCCUGGG
rnacentral:rRNA from 1 species